GGAGUGGGUUGCCAUGCUAUCCUCCAGGGGAUAUUCCUGACCCAGGGGCUGAAUCUGCAUCUCUUAUGUCUCCUGCAUUGGCAGGUCUUGGAUGGAUGAUUUUACUACUAAAAAGCUGCAUUACAAGUCUUGACAACUAAACUCCAGUAGAAAAAAGAAAAAGUGCUGGAAUAGGGCCCAUCGUGCUGGAAACUGGGACAGCGAAAAAUGAACUCAGCAGAAAGCUCACACGGCCCAGUCUCAGAUUCCAGAAGACCUCUGGUUAGGAAACUUUGGACCACUGGACAAAACCCCAAGAGGGAUUGUCAGAAGAUCCUCUGACCAAUCCUGAGGAAAUCUGAUACACUGAUGGAAGCAACUUUGUCUUGGAUGGAAAAAGAAGAACCGGGAAGUCCUGAAUGAGUCUCUGGGAAAGUGUGCAAGAGACAAAGGAAGAGAAGAUUAAUAGUGUUUUUCAAGAAUCUUAUGGCUCAGUUGGAAGAAGAAAAUAAGUGUGUGGAAAGCUACAUGAUUAACAAGAAGAGUAAAAGUAAAAGGUAAGAUGAAUAAUAAAGACAUGACUUAUUAAUGGAGUUCAGAGGAGGGAGAAAGAGGACCACAUGAGAGUGAAAGUGUUUGAACCUGACGAAAAGGAUAGGAAAGAUUGUAUAAGAGAGGACCACUUCCAGUCUUUGCAUGUGUGAGAGAGUGAGACUAUGGAAAGAUUGUAGCAGCAACAGGACACUCUGAUUUUAAUGCAGGGGCUAGUGAAUAAUACAGUUUCUUUGGAGUCAAGAAUGUUUAGAGGUGGAGAGCUAUAUUUCUGAAAAGGAAAAUGAGGUUGGAUUAUGGAGAAUCUUGAGUGCCAGACCAAAUUUAAACUUUGUAAUAUAAUGUGAGAGCACGGGAAUACAAUGACAUCA
ensembl:lncRNA